UGACAGGUGGUGGCAUGGUUGUCGUCAGCUCGUGUCGUGAGAUGUUGGGUUAAGUCCGCAACGAGCGCAACCCUCGACCUUAGUUGCCAGCAUUCAGUUGGGCACUCUAAGGUGACUGCCGGCUAAAAGUCGGAGGAAGGUGGGAUGACGUCAAAUCAUCAUGCCCCUUAUGACCUGGGCUACACACGUGCUACAAUGGGCGGUACAAAGGGUCGCGAACCCGCGAGGGGGAGCCAAUCCCAAAAAGCCGCUCUCAGUUCGGAUUGCAGGCUGCAACUCGCCUGCAUGAAGCCGGAAUCGCUAGUAAUCGCGGAUCAGCAUGCCGCGGUGAAUACGUUCCCGGGCCUU
rnacentral:rRNA from 1 species